ACUUUAAUCUGGUAAGUAAUAGUAUAUAACACUAGUUUGGCCCAAACAAUUCAACCCAUUACACUAAUUUUCUCGACACAAACGUGAGAUGGAACUGGAGGCGAGGCGGGAGCAGGAGCGUGAAAUAAUUGAAGCCGCCUAAAACCUAGGGAGCUGUAAUCAACAUUUACGUUGGUUGAUUAUAAAUCGACGCCUAGAAAACUAACGAUGUAGAAUAUUGAAGUGUCGAAUGUCUAAAUCGACCGAAUCCCAAUUUCUAAAUCUGAUUUCUUCUACUCUUCUAUUUCUAAUUCCCAUUUGGCGAUUCAUGUGGGUUGAAGACGUACUAAGAUUGUCAAUCGUCUAUUUCUGGAACCCAAUUCUGAUUUCACCUAUUCUCCUCUGUUUUUAUCGCUAGUCUGAUUCGGUAUUUUGGUGAUUCCCGAUUUGUAUGAGUUGGAGUUUGAACUGUUAAGAUAAGGAGGUAUUUCGUUUGCUUAAGAGGAGUUCGAAUAUGUACUGAAUUGUUUAAUUCAAAAUCAGGAAUUCACAGUUUUGGUUUCUCAGCUAAGUAGUUACAUAUGAUGAUUUAAUGAUAUUCGUUUGAUAUUUGGAUUUAUUAAUUUGUUGAAAAAAUAUGUAUUAUUGUUUGUUUUGCAGAUAUUAUCGAUUCUUUCGGCAUAAAAUGUUUUUUAAUUGUGGAUCUCAUUCUAAUAUGUUAUACUCUAGUUUUGUCUAGGAAGUGGGAAUUGCAAUUGGAAGCACUCAAGGUUAAUCCAGGAUCCCUAAUCACCAACCGAAAAUAGAUUUGUACUUGGAAAUUGGAGAUUUGCACUUGGCAGACGAUUUUUUUUGUUAUUUGCUUCAACGUUUCUUUUGCUUAUGAAAUUUGCUAAUACUUAUUAUGUUUUAGUUUUUGUAUUUUUUAAUGAGACUAGACUGUUUAGUAUCUAAUACAAUCAUUUUUAAUAUUGUGUAUACUUUUUUUUCCCUACAAA